CUCUUCCCCAUUCUCGGCCUCCCCUCUCUCUCUCUAUACUCUCUUUUACUCCAUUGAUGUCCAUUGAAGAAAGCUUAGAGAAGCUUCAUCAAACACUACUAUGAGAUAAUCCACCAUCCAAUCCAAUCAAAUACUAUCAUAUCUCAUCAAAUUCAAGAAGCUAGAGCUAAGAUCAAAGUUGGAGCAAAGUCUUGAUCACCUUUUAAAUCCUUGAACACGAGAAGAGCAAGGAAGUAAGUAACUCCACUUUGACGGGAGAUUUUGAGUAAGGUCUUCAGGAUAAGCGGAGGGGGAGUAUGGUGCGGUGCUGGUGGAGAAUGUUUCGGGUUGACGUUUUCUUUCUCUAUUGUAUGUCUGUUUUGUCGAUAGAGUUUUGAUAUGAAGUUAUGUUAAAUAGAGUUUGAUGUUUAAGAUACUUAGUUUCCU